UCAAUUCAUGCUGUUCUGUAACGGGCUGGAUCCGACGCCUCUUGCAGGCUACUAUAGGCUCUCCUCCCCUACACUCCUACACAAUAUGUAAAGAACGGUAACUUGUCGCCUAAAUAUCCAAGCUUGGGUACACGGGGAAACCCAACCCCUUGGGCGGAUGGGCGGCAAGGCUGAAUUGAGAGGG
rnacentral:ribozyme from 1 species